CCUACGGGGGGCAGCAGUGGGGGAUAUUGCACAAUGGGGGGAACCCUGAUACAGCGACGCCGCGUGGGUGAAGGAGUGCUUCGGCAUGUAAAGCCCUAUCGGCAGGGAAGAAGCAAGACGGUACCUGACUAAGAAGCCCCGGCUACUACGUGCCAGCAGCCGCGGUAAUACGUCGGGGGCGAGCGUUAUCCGGAUUCACUGGGUGUAAAGGGAGCGUAGACGGCCAAGCAAGCCAGGGGUGAAAGCCCGGGGCCCAACCCCGGGACUGCCCUUGGAACUGCAUGGCUGGAGUGCGGGAGGGGCAGGCGGAAUUCCUGGUGUAGCGGUGAAAUGCGUAGAUAUCAGGAGGAACACCGGCGGCGAAGGCGACGAUCUGGCCUGCAACUGACGCUCAGUCCCGAAAGCGUGGGGAGCAAAUAGGAUUAGAUACCCUAGUAGUC
rnacentral:rRNA from 1 species